rnacentral:lncRNA from 10 species
AGCUGAGGAACUGUACCAGAGCUCUCGGAGAUCAACAAAGGUGCCGCUUUUGAAUGUGAAAGUUUUUUCAAGACUUUUCUAUUUCUUGGUUUGAAUCGUGUGCCUGUAGGGACACAUGCUACCUGCUUACUGGACAGUGACUACUUAGGAUAAGGACUCAGGCAAAAUGAUUAGUGGCAGAGGAAUCAUCUAAGAAAACUGAGAAGACUCUGCCAGAGUGAUGGGAAGAAAACUAGAUGAGAAAGCACCAUUCUGGAAGACAUGCUCCCAUGAACCAUGGAGAGAAGAGGAGAGGGAAGAAGUUAUUUGUGAUGUCAUUUGCCUGUGUCAUGGCCUGCCUUCCCUAGAUAUUGUCCUAAUGUGAGCAUCACACCUAAGGUACUGAAGUAGAGUUCUGGCUGUUCCUUACGGACAUCUCUGGUGUUGGGAUCCAGAGAACCUUCCCCUUCUGAGCAGCAAAACCAAAUAAAGCAGUUCUCAGGAUACAAAGACAAGACUGAGGAAGAUCCUAAUAAGGUGUUGCAAGGUGACACAGGACAAACUUUGUCCAAAGGAAAUUGAUCUGACAAGAACUUCUGGACUUGUCAGUUCUUAGGGCUGACUGGUCUAUCCUCUUUCUAUUGACUUUGGCUUACUAGACUCAAGCAGAAAGUGACAAGGGAAGAAAAGGAUACAAACAGAAGCAAGUUUCCAAGAACAAGGUUUACAUCAGGAAGAGCCAAUCAAAGAUCAUAUCUGGAGGACUGCUGCAAAGUUGUGAUAAAUGACCAAAUAGUAUUUUUAUAGAAGGUGGAAUGAAUGACAGACUAAAGAUUUCAGCUGAUUAAAGAAAUUAUGGAGUGCAUCAUUCUCAGUUUAUAUUGAACUGGGGUUCCUGAGAAAUUCCUCCUUAUAAAUUUACAUGGAAAUUAUAAUUUUUACUAGUUGAUUUCAGUUAAUUAGCCUACUGAAUAAUUUGAUUCUUGCACUCACUAAAAGAUCAUAGAGCACAAGAAUACCAUUUACAAAAUACUUUAAAAGUGGGGAUAUAAACACAAAUAAGGUCUUGUACCAACCUUGAAGGGAUUUUCAGUCUAGGUAAAAACCAUUUAAAAUAAAAAGAGGGCAUCCUUGUUUUAUUCCUGUAUUUAAGAGAAUGUGUCUUUCAGUGUUUAAAAUAAUGUUUACUGCUGGUUUAUGAUAAAUACUUUAAAAAAUCACAUUAUGGGAAUGUUUUCCAAUUUUCAUUUCCUAAGAGAUUUUUGUCAGGAAUGUAGUUGAAUUUUAUUAAG